GAUGAAGAACGUAGCAAAAUGCGAUACUUGGUGUGAAUUGCAGAAUCCCGUGAACCAUCGAGUUUUUGAACGCAAGUUGCGCCCGAAGCCUUUUGGCCGAGGGCACGUCUGCCUGGGCGUCACACAUCGCGUCGCCCCCCACAACUCUCCGUAAAGGGAACUUGUGUUUUGGGGGCGGAUAUUGGUCUCCCGUGCUCAUGGCGUGGUUGGCCGAAAUAGGAGUCCCUCCGGUGGACGCACGAACUAGUGGUGGUCGUAAAAACCCUCGUCUUUUGUUUCGUGCUGUUGCUCGCAAGGUAAACUCUUUAAAAACCCCAAUGCGUCGUCUCUUGACGACGCUUCGACCGCGACCCCAGGUCAGGCGGGACUACCCGCUGAGUUUAAGCAUAUCAAUAAGCGGAGGA
rnacentral:misc_RNA from 1 species